UUCAGAGAGAGAGAGAGAGAGAGAGAGAGAGAGAGAGAGAGAGAGAGAGAGAGAGAGAGAGAGAGAGAGAGAGAGAGAGAGAGCAGGGAUGUAUAUGUACAAAGUAAGUGUGUGUGUGUGUGUGUGUGUGUGUGUGUGUGGGGGGGGGGGGGGGGGGGGGGGUAUUAAAGUGGAGGCCGAUGACACUUAAAAGUCAUCCACGAGAGCACUGAGGAACUUGGACAUGAACAGAAAAGAGAACAGAGACAUGUCGGAGGCUGUGUGGAUGGUGAGGCCUGCAGGGAUGCUGCUUUUUACACAGUGCACCUCAACGCGCCAAAACAAGUGCACAAUACCACAUGGUAACUGCUCUCCCUGUUUUUAUGCCCAGAAACCAAACAUUAUUUCGAUGAUUGUGGUGAAGUAUGAAAGAUGUGGCUCAGAGAGAGAGAGAGAGAGAGAGAGAGAGAGAGAGAGAGUGUCCGUCCACAAGUGACGCUCUCCUGACAUUUGUUUCGGUGGGUUCCUGGCUGGAGGUCAAACACUUUUACGCACCUUUUUAUUUCCGCCACAUCUGAAGUCCGAGCGGUCAGAGGGCCUGAUGAUCUGAAAAACCACCACCCCUCCUCUACUCUACACACACACACACACACACACACACACACACACACACACACACACACACACACACACACACACACACACACACACACACACACACACACACACACACACACACGCAUUCUCACACAGGCUCCGUUAAAUUAUGCAAAAAGGCCAUUCAACAAAUAUAGCCCUCACAACACAAAAGAGAAGGAUGAUUCUGACAUUUCCCCACAUUUCUUGUUUUUUUUUCCUUUCCUACACUCUCGAAGUGAGUAAGACCCCGAGAUAAACCCCUGAACAAGUAUCAAGUUAUCAAGUUGCACCGACCUUUUGUAAUAAGAGUAUUUUGUCUAAUCCCAAAUUGCAGUUGAAUUUUCUUAAUGCUGAGCUGGUAAAGCCUGGGAUUAGGCGGUGAGGAGAGGAGGGGGAAAAGUUUUGUCCCUUCAGCCGGCAGGAUUGGGAGCUGGAAUCUGCGGGGAUGUUGUCGGUACUUAUUAAAACGAUGAUGCAUAAAACACAGAGUUGCUGUCGGAGCCCCGGCGCCGUGCGCGGAGACCCGGGCUCCCUCAGGUGCAGGUUUUUUUGGACGGCGGCGGGGACAGAAAGUUAUGUAGAGGGCCGAGCGGCGCGCAGCACCUGUGAGGUGAGGCCAAGAGACAUCAAAGCUCAGGAGAUAAUCCAUUCAGCUGAAGGAUCCUCUGCUGCACAGCAGCGCACAGCCAACCACCACCUUUUACGCAGCGCCGAGCUCCUGUUCUCUGAAAAAUAGGAGACUGACUCCAAAUGUUUUUCUGCCUCAUCAGGAGCCUCAACCCCGGGUGAUGCUUGAGAGGUAAGAGAUCACUGACUCUCACUUUUUAUCCUUUCUUUGCUCUAACAGGCAAAAAUGCCUCUUUAAAAAAAAUCAAAACAUUCGACUUAUUACAUGUUCAUGGUUCCUUUCCCUUGAUUUGGAUGUGUUUGAUUUAAUAAAGAGCGUUUUCAGCAUGUUAAAUGUAAUUUUAUACGAUCAUUUCUACGGUAAAAGUUCCGUUUUACGCACGAAAAUUUCUUAACGUUUUCAAAACCCUCCAGAAAAUACUUUGACCAAUAUUUUACAGCAGUUGAAAUCCUGCAUUACGGUGAAUAAUUUACUGUUCACACACACACUCUCUCACACACACAUCGCCACAUGCACCGAGCAUAACGUCCUUUCCCCGCUCCGGCUCUUUGCUUUAUUCUCCAGAUUAGAGACCCCCGCGAUAAAACGCGCUAUAACACAAAGUAAAACAAAGCGCCUCGGGGGACGCAGAGUGCGUAAUAUGCACGUACAGUCGGUCCCAAGCAGAGAAGAAACGAAUCAGCAAAUUAAUUUGAAAGUAUUAGAAAGGCCGGGGAGGACGUCUGCUGUCACAACCGAUUUUCUUGCUUUAAUCGGGGACGUGAGGCAGCCUGCGGGGCUGUGGGAGGGUUACACCGUUCAUCCUCACCUUUAUUACAGGGACAUGUUUCAACAUUUAUUAUUAUACUUGGAUAUCAUUCUGACUAAAAAAAAAAAACUACAAGAAAAAAAGGGGCAAAUUAAAGUGGUGUGAUUUUUCCCCAACAUCUGAUAACUAAUACCUUUAUUUUCCCAGCCGCCUUUCCAGUUUUGAUUAUUCUCCUUUUCCAACUACGGCUCCAUGUGACCGAGUCUCCACAUCUCUGCCCCCCGUCUACAGCGCGCGCAUGAGCGGCCCAAAGAGAAACCGAGAAAAGGAGAGAGAGAGAGGGGGAAAAAAACAUCUGCUCGGAACAAAGUGAUUUCUCUAAUCUUCCUCAGAGGAACCUGCUCUGCUCCGACCUCAAACAAAAAAACAGCCCAACGCCAAUUUUAAUU